rnacentral:rRNA from 1 species
AGAGCGGGACACGAGAAAUCCUGUUUGAAGAUGGGGGGACCAUCCUCCAAGGCUAAGUACUCCUUAGUGACCGAUAGUGAACGAGUACAGUGAUGGAAAGGUGAAAAGGACCCCGAGAGGGGAGUGAAAGAGAACCUGAAACCGAAUGCUUACAAGCAGUCGGAGGGGCGUUAGGCCCUGACGGCGUACCUUUUGUAUAAUGGGUCAGCGACUUAGUGUUGCAAGCGAGCUUAAGCCGAUAGGUGUAGGCGCAGGGAAACCGAGUCUGAACAGGGCGACGAGUUUGCAGCAUUAGACCCGAAACCGGGUGAUCUUGCCAUGAACAGAUUGAAGGUGGAGUAACAUCCACUGGAGGAUCGAACCCACUCCCGUUGAAAAGGUAGGGGAUGAUUUGUGGCAAGGGGUGAAAGGCCAAUCAAACUCGGAAAUAGCUGGUUCUCCGCGAAAACUAUUUAGGUAGUGCGUCAGAUGAGAUGCCUUCAGGGGUAGAGCACUGGAUGGGCUAGGGGGAAGCGAUUCUUGCCAACCCCAACCAAACUCCGAAUACUGAAGAGCAGUCACUGGCAGACAGACGGUAGGUGCUAAGGUCUAUCGUCGAGAGGGAAAUAGCCCAGACCGCCAAUUAAGGUCCCCAAGUUAUGGCUAAGUGGGAAAGGAUGUGGGACGACCAAAACAGCCAGGAGGUUGGCUUAGAAGCAGCCAUCCUUUAAAGAAAGCGUAACAGCUCACUGGUCUAAGUAAGUUAUCCUGCGCCGAAGAUGUAACGGGGCUGAAGCCAUACACCGAAAUUGCGGAAUUUAGAGUAAUCUAAGUUGGUAGCGGAGCGUUCCGUAGGCCUGUGAAGGAAUGUGGCGAUGCAUUCUGGAGGUAUCGGAAGUGCGAAUGCUGACAUAAGUAGCGACAAAGAGUGUGAGAAACACUCUCGCCGAAAGUCCAAGGGUUCCUGCGUAAAGUUAAUCUGCGCAGGGUUAGCCGGCCCCUAACGCGAGGGCGAGAGCCGUAGCGGAUGGGAAUGGGGUUAAUAUUCCCCAGCUUGCUGGAAUUGACGACUUGACGUAGUUAUUAUUCCUUAAUGGAUUGGAGUGGUAACGGGUCAGGUCCAGGAAAUAGGUCCAGCGAAUAAACCGUACCCUAAACCGACACAGGUGGACUGGUAGAGCAUACCAAGGCGCUUGAGAGAACUAUCUUGAAGGAACUAGGCAAAUUACAUGUGUAACUUCGGGAUAAACAUGCCCUGUGUCCGGGCAACCGGAUGCAGGGGGCACAAACCAGGGGGUAGCGACUGUUUAACAAAAACACAGGGCACUGCGAAGUUGCAAGACGACGUAUAGUGUCUGACGCCUGCCCGGUGCCGGAAGGUUAAGAGGAGAUGUUCACGCAUUGAAUUGAAGCCCCGGUAAACGGCGGCCGUAACUAUAACGGUCCUAAGGUAGCGAAAUUCCUUGUCGGGUAAGUUCCGACCUGCACGAAUGGCGUAACGACUUCCCCACUGUCUCCAAGAUAGGCUCAGCGAAAUUGAACUCUCCGUGAAGAUGCGGAGUACCCGCGGUCAGACGGAAAGACCCCGUGCACCUUUACUACAACUUUGCAGUGGUAUUAGGGAUUGAAUGUGUAGGAUAGGUGGGAGCUUAUGA